AUAAGGUGAACAGCAUGGUUCUCUUCGAUCAGGAAACUAACAACAAGCUUCGGUCUGAAGCUCCUAUGUUCAAGUUGAUCAAUCAAUCCCUUCUAUUCUGCUGGCGUUUUCAUUUACUGGUUCUUUUCGAUGAGUGGAGUAGGAAGCUAAAGUGACAGGAGUCGUUCGACGGCGAAACAGAGAGGUAUCUAAGGAGGAAGAGGAAGCGAAAGAAAAAAGUGAAAGGGGUCUUAGACCUCCUAAGCAAGAAUUUUCAAGCUUUGUGAAUGUUUGGAACUGAUUUAGUUCACGGAGUCACAACUGCUGUCUGAAAUUGAGAAGCGUCUUGCACCAAAAAACAUUACCCUAGACGUCAUUCACAGAUGUGACACCACCCUUCACAUUUAAGUAUCUAAGCUUUAUCUCAAUUUCUCCUGUUGGUAGUUUAUCAGUGAAUCCUUAACUCGAGACAGUACAAACCAGUUGGUAGUUUGUUCAUGACUUUCUUCAAAUAGCUCAAACCAGUUGGAAAAGUGCCCAUCAGCGACUACUGUUGGUGCAAGAAAAUCCAUCUCCUGAGUUUUCAUAGUACCUUCCAUGACGUUCAAGCAUAUGUGAUGGUUUGUUCUUUGUCAAUGAUAUAUGUUUCUGUGUCUGUAAAAACCUUUUUUCAAACUCUAAUCCCGGUGAAAAAAUCUUCAGUGUCGAUUCUAGAAGACGCCGGCUGUAAUGAUGUGAUCGCAGAAUAGCGUAUCGAUCAGGUGAACCAAUGCUCUAACUUUACCAUAGUUUUUCUCAUAACUGUCAUUUUCAGAGCUGAGUUGUAUGUUUUCUAAUGUAGUUUAAGCAUAAAGAAAUGGGAGUAUACGAAGAUAGAUAUUGUAUAUGUUGUAGUUCGCAUGGGAAACAAAUCAGAUAUGUUGUCUAUUUUAUUUAUCACUAGGGGUAUACCGGCGCUACGCGCCGGGUUUGGAUCUUUUGUUCUUUGUAUAUUUUGUUUUCUAAUAAGUUAAAAUUGGUCCAUUUAAUCCAUUUGACAGGGGUUAUUGUCAGUAUUGUGUUACUUUAUUUUUUAUCUGAUUAGGCGAAAGAGGAGUACCGUAAGUGAUUUCAUAGAUUAGUAUAAUAAGGAUAUAAUAUAUAGUUGAUAGCUGGACAAAAGUAAAUGUAGUACAAUGUAAAAGAUUAACUAAAGUCAAUGUUCCAAGCUGCACAAAAGUAAAUAUAGAAUAAUGUAAAAGGUUAAGUAAAGUUAAUGUUUCAAAAGAAACAUGUAAAUUCAUGUGUUUGUUUACUGUUUUUUUGUGCUAAUGUAGUCAACAAAUUCAUUCAUCUUCUUAAAGAAAUAACAAUCUUCGCAUGCGCUGUCCAUGUCAUGAUUGUGGCAAUCAGUUAGGGGUUCCAUUAUGGCUGUAUUUGUUAAAUAUUUUGUCUUCAAAAUGACUCUGAUUUCUUUUAGUGAAUUCUUAAUCAUGGUCAAACAUUGCACAGUUCUGACUUGAUUAGUUUUCCAGGUUAACUUAUCGAGGUACUUUUUUUCCUCACCGAAAUCGCCUCUGCACAACAUUAAUAUACCAUAAAUAUAUGUACCGUUGUCAAAGUUUCCAUCUGCAGAUUGACGAAGAUGGUUGAGUCUUUCGAUAGAUUUGCGGUGCUGGAAGUAUUGAAGUAACCCCUAGAUGUAGUGAUCCCUUGGAUGGCCAGUAGCCAAAAAUUCAUUCUUUAAAAUUUUGUAACUAUUUAGCAUAGUGAGUGGCUCUUCUACAAAAUAUUGGAGGUCGAGGUUCCUGAAAUAGAUGGUUGGGUCUGUGUGUGAGGAGUUUCCUUCACAGCUACCAAUACUUUCAUCUGAGUUAUAAUUGUUUUCUGAAUUCACUGAUCCCAUUUUGUUUUCUUUUUUUUCCUUUACUGGUUUUCGAAUAUGGUGGAUGAAUUGUAUUAUUAUGUUUGUUACGGGUUGAAGGCUAAUAUACUAUGUGCAUAGUUAAUUUAUUAAUUUUGUGGAAGCUGUUUUGUCUAAUUGAUGUUACAUUUGACUUUUUAUUUAAUUUUUAUGAUACAAUUUUAAUGAGCUAUUAGAUUACUAAAAAUGAUUGUUUUCAAUAAGUUAUGGUGAAUUGUUCAGUAACGACUCAAUAAUUUUGUUGGGUUGUUUUUGUUUGUUUGGAUGUGAAAUUUUCGUUCUCAUAUAAUUGUAAUGUUAGAUUUUAACAAUAAAUAGAAGAAGGCUUAUUUGUUUUGCAUUUUUGUAUUCUUAAAUGAAUUUACAAUUCAUUUUAUGGUAUUAGUAAAUUAAAGAUGCUUAUAAAUUUGAAAAUGAAAAUUUCUUGAAAGAAAGUGAUAUUAUUUUUGUGAUCAUUAUACCUGUUAUAUUUUAUGUGUGAUUUUGCCUUCAUUUGGUUGUAAUAUAUUUAUUGAUAAAGAAAGACUUAAACAAAUGUAUUAUCUAAAAAAUAAAAGGCUGAGGAACAGCUCGAAAACAGAGGUAUAGAAUAAUCAUAACUUUUCGUUUUAAUAAAAGGCGAGUGCUUCUACAAUGUCUGGGCCAAAUUUAUCUAUUGUAAUAGAAGCCCAUAUCACAUUCUUUAAAUUAGGCUAGCAUCGGGUACUAAAGGGAACGUUUGGGCCAUCUCUAUAAUUUUUAAAAAGUCUAAAUCAUGUUAGAGAAAUAAGAGAAGCGUCAGUCCAAAAUCGCAAGGAUGUUUGGUGUGGCGACACAUGUCGUGAAAUGCCCACCCCUCCUAGAUGAUGUGGCUUCAUAAGGAGAAACUAAAGUCUCAUUUAUUGUAUAAGAUUUGUAGUAACUUUUCUAAUUAAUAGUUAUGAGACUCAAAAUUUUCUACUCAUCUUUUUGGAAUUUUGUUAGGCAAGAAACUUUCCAUCAGCUUAAAUUAGGAGUCAGCUAUUGCCUUGCUGUAGUAAGAAAAAGAAAUGACUCGCUAAGUGCUUAACUUUCAGACUCACUAAAGCUUUGUUUAUCAUUCAUGUAUUAACAUUAUUUUUCUUUACUAUCACUUUGUUGAUAAUGAGGGUUAUGCAAUCAUAUGUGGGUUUGGUGAAGUCUUUGUUUAGGAUAACAGUAAUACCACCUUGAUUUAAAACUCAUCUCUGUUUCUAAGUGAUUGUAUAGGAUCCUCAUUCUCUGUUGUAAGAAUGAGAUCUUAAUAAUUAAUCAACUCUGGAAACAACAAAAUAAAAACAUCAAUUUGUUGACAGGGUUUUUGAUUUUCAGAUCAAACGAGAAAACAAAAAGAAGAUGAAAAAGUUAGUUGUUUGUAUGACACCAAAAAAGUACCCCUGAAAUUCAUAUAGAAAAACAACCUAAAACUAAAAACAGACCUUUAAAUUUGGUUAUUUAUAUAACCCACCAAUAAAAAAAUCACAAAUAAUUUCCUAACAUAUUGGAAUGAAUCUUUUUUUUGUAAAAGGGCAUUAUUGGAAUGAGUCUUUAAUUUUUUUGUUUCUUUAAUGUUUUGUUUUAUACGUUUGCAAGCCAUAACAACCACAAGUCUUUCUCCUUACUCAAAUUACAAAUCUGGGAAUUAGAAAAUCGAAAGUAGUAGCACAUUAAGCAAGAGAUUGCUAAAGUUAGAAAUUUUUUUUUUACUUUUUUAAAAAUAAUCUAUCAUUAGUAUAGCACGAAAACAAGAGAGACGCAAUAUAAAACAAUUUGAAAAAGCAUAUAAAG